GAAGAGCGCCGAGCGGCCUGGCUCCUCGUGCCCGGUGCCGCCUCGGUGCCGGGAGCCUUAGCGAGCGCCGUGCGCUCUUCCUGCACAGAAACUGCUUGUAAUUGGCAUCCAGUAAGUGAAACAGGCUCCGGGGCUGUGGGUCGGCAGGCCUGUGCUCGGGUAGGGCAGGACCGUGCGAUGUGCUGUCCUGCUUCCAGGAGCCGCGGAACGGCACGGCGUGCCCCUCGGCAAGCUCUGCUGGGGAGCGGGCUGCUCGGCUCUGCCUUGGGGCUGACCGCCCUCCAGCGCCUCGGACGGAGCCGGCCCAGCUCUCAGACUUGCCUCAAAUCACUGCUUAGGGAUACAGCGGGAAUUGUCAAACGGGGGUGCUUACAUGAUGGCAGACCAGCAAUCAGCAGUGACUUCCUGUGCUCUGGAGUUUUAAUGUCAGCACCUCUGGUUAUUUAUAGACAGCUGAGACUGCAGGCAAAAGAGUUCUCUAUAGAUGAUAAACCAAAAAUGAGGCAUAAGCUGUUAGUACUGCCCACAGAUGAGACUUCAGGAGGUAGUUUGUUGCUCCAUCUGAUACACAAGUUUGUUAAGAAACAGCACUUUAUAGGAAUAGGUUCCAUAUCUCCAUGGCAGCCCAGAAGAUUGACAGUAAUCAGGCAAUCCCUUGGGGAUUAAAGGAGAUUAUGUCUCAUACAGUCAGCGAGGACUUACUUAAGUCAGGUCCCUCAAAAGUGCCAGCCAUACACGAUCUGAUCCUUUACAGCUAUCUGCAGUUCUUGGUAUACUUUUAUUGCAGAACACAACAAAACCAAGAGAACUGGAUAAAGGAAUGGUUAAACCACAUCUGCCAUGGCGUGUGCAAUUCUUAGUCACCCCAUUCACAAAAUGAUAAGUUAAAACUGAAGCGAGUAUAGACGUGGUAAGAAGGGCAGUAAAGGAUACAGAACGCAUUCCAGAGACAGCACACGAAUGGGUGAGAGCUCUGGCAUAGAGAAGAGCCAGCUGAAGAUGGGAAGUUUAUGCAGCCAGAGGUGGCAUUCAGAAAUACCAACUAAAAUACAAGCCAUCACUGAAUGGAAGUAGUGAAUGAUGGGCUUAAGAAGACAAAAGCUUUUUAUUUUUUCCAGUUAAGCUUGAGAGCUCUGUCUGUGGAUGUCACAGGUUCCAGCGAUUCUUAAAGCUGGAUAAGACUUCUGUUGAAAAACACACCAGGGUGUUGCACGAGGUUUUCAAUACAAGGGACUUAUCUACCUUUUCCCCUCUCCUCUGGAGGUCCACCUGGAGCAUCCAUUUCCCUGGGGUCAGAGGUCCCUGGUCCAUCGUGCCAGGGACGUUUACGUGGUGGCAGUGAGGCCAUGUCCAUGCCCUGGAGCGAAGAAGAACGUUCUCGGUUAGCUGGAGAAUGUCCAUCGUGAGGAGGGUGGUCUGGACGAGGACCUGAUGGAUUCUGGCUUCCGCCCACCUUCAAAGCGUGGAAUUUCAUCGGGGGUAGGAAGCAGACCCUUCCGGCCUCCUGAGCAGCACGAGAUGCAGGGAGAGGAGUGAGAAGAGACAAUUGCAUUUGUGAAACUGUUGCCGUUUGCCCAAGAAACACCCUUGCUACCUUCUCCUUGUAUUUCACUGUGGAAGAAUGUUCCCCUCACCUCUAAUUGCACCACGACCUCGGCCCCGAGCACCAUGGUCCCUUCCUCUCAAGUUUUCAUCUGGGGAGUCAAAAGUGUCAUCUGGCCCAAAAUCUUCCGGACCAGGAAAGCCAUCUCUCCCCCUGGGUCCCCGGCCCUCGUGUCUCGAGGGUCCUCCUCUUCUGAAGCUACAAGAAAGAACACGUUACACCUUUAGACAAGGUUUACAUUGAUAAACUUGAGACAGUUGGUUAUUAAGCUGUUUUCUGAACCGUUUCACAUAACACUACAGUACAUACAGCUAUCAGAACAGGAUUUGUGGGUGGAAAAGUGCUCAAUGUCUGUCUCUGAGCGCUUUGUUUAGCUAUUUUGUAUAGUUUUUCCUCACUUCUUUCUGUUGUGUUGGUUUUGUUUUUUUUUUUUCCCAUACAGAAAAUACUGUCAAGUAUAUUUGCAUUCAUUUAACAAGGAAAAAAAAAUAAAAACAGUGAGAUAGAUAUAAGGCAAGGCAAGGAGAAGGACAAGUGAAUUUCUCUUAGUUGCAGUGCUCUUGCUUUAAGGGAUUACAAACGAAGCAGGAAAAAUAAAAGCAGUGAGAGUCAAGGCUGUAGUGAAACAUUUCAGCAUCACAUUCCUAUGGAUUCUGGAGUCUCUUGCUAGAACAUUCUCUUACUCAGUCCCUCCACAGAGGAUUUUUUAUUCUUUUUUUCUUUUUAAGUUUACAAUGUUGAGAAACGAUUCUAGGCUGCACUUGGCUCAGCAGGGAUGAUGACUGCUGAGCAGUGUGCACAGUGGCUUUCUACAACCUCACCAGCAGCUUAUCCAUCUGCAGUAAACGAAGAGCUCUGUUCUGCAAAACGUAGCAGUGCCCCUCACGUCAGUUAUUUCUACUCCUAGUCAGCACCAUGGCAUCUUCAGUAACUGGAUGCGAUUGGCUUUUGCAUCUCAUCUGAACUGAGUACAGCUCCUCCAGUAUCACACUGGGGUCUUAACACAGAUCUUCAGAGGGAAGAACGCUUCUGUCUUAGCUGUCAGUGCCAUUCCAGGUCUGUCUCCACCUCCCAGAAAACAAACACAAUACAGAGAGGAGGCUGCUGUGCCUGUACAGGUACAACAGUGGAUGGAGGGAGUGCUGCAUAUGGACAAUGAACCAUUUCACAUUAACCUGGGUGAUUUGUGAAAACAAACUCAGCAGUUUCAGGUACAAAUGGUUCAAAUAACCACAUUGCAAUGUUGUUUAGCCUUGAGACAGCACAGUCCUCUAGAUAUAUUCCUUAGAGGGUCUCCCAUUUUAAUACUGACUUGGUGAGAUUCUGCUUAGCUUGUAAAUUACCAAGAUUCGCAACACAAGAUCCUAUGGCUACCGGGAGGAGGACCCUUCUCUGUGUUUCCAGGCAACCUUACGGACAAAGUUCAGCUUUGAAAUCUAUCACACCUAUGCCUGAUACAGCCAUGGCUCCUAAUAUUGGGUUAUGUAUAUCCUUUUUCACUUUUUCUCAUCAGUCACACGUAAAACCCUGCCUCGCAUAGGGCUCAGUUCCUGUUUGACUGCUCUCAUCUUCUUCCUUGAGGCCUAGGACCUUAACGUACACAACUACACACUGUGCAGAUUAGCAGCAGGAAGAGGCAGGUCUCUGCAGUAGAAGCAUCAUGUUGAUAUGCACAGGUAGAGUGAGAACAGGACAGAGAUGAAAAGGAUGGGAAAUUAGAGAGAAACACACAUACACACACUUCCCUCUCACGUUUUUGACCAAACCAGUUACAAUCUAAAUUCCAAACCAAGUCAGCUAAACGAGCAGUCGGGAUUCUUAGGCUCACUUCAGCACCAGCAUGGCAACCAAUUCACCUUCACUCAGAGGAAAUCACUAAGUGCAAGCACAGCGAGCCUUUCAGAGCCCUGUGAUGAUUCUUCUCCAGCUAACCGCUCUGUACAAACACUUGCACUGUGACAGACCCUCGUUAGCUCACAAGUCAGAUUCCCAGGUCCUGAGAUGCCUGGACUCCCCUCCUAAAACCUCUGUAAAAUCAGAAUAAGAAUAAAAUAUUCCCCAAUCCCUAAACAUUCCCAAUAUAAGAUCUGAAAAUCUCUACUGAGCUUCUAAAAUCAUUGUCUGCUACGUCUGUUUCAGAGUUAUGGAAGGCAGACUAUUCCACUCGGAUUCUCUCUUUUAAACGGCUUUGUUACCUUCUUUUUGUUCAUUUCCUUUCAUACUCUUCACACAAAAGGAAGGUACAUCUUUACAGAGCUAGGUAGAAAAUAGCUAAAAGAAGAGCUGUACAGAUGCAAAGUAAAAGGAAUGUAAGAAAAUGAUUAAAAGGCAACUAAAACACACAAAAUUCACAUUAUGUGGAGACCACAAUAUAUUUGUACAAGUACACAUUUUUAUACAUAUGGAGUUGGUGGUCAGUGAGAGGUUUAGACCUUGGAGGCCAAAUUUAACUCUGUUAAGCUAGCAUAAAUCUGGAGCAAUUUCAGUGACAGGUCGUCUUGCCAACUUUGAGCAAUUCCUCCACGUUUACAUUAAUAACUAGAAGCAAAGUCAUCCCUUUGUGAUUGAUCUGGAAAUUGUGAGCAAUGAAGAGGACAUUGCUAUAAACUAGAUUAUUUUUGAGUUCUUUGCUUGGCAUUAAGAAAUAAGCCAGAAAAAGAAAUAAAAUUCCUACAAGCAAAAACAUGAGAAAAUAGUCUCGACAGUCCAACAGGCUGCAGAGCUCUGCCCCUUAUAUUUGAUAGUAGGAUCACUGUUCCUGCUCCUCACAAGUAUCUCACAGCUCGUUCUACAGUCUCCACAGUCAUCCUGCAGUUUGUGACUGGAGACAGAGUCUCAAAUUCCACUUCUAGUGUUCAAAAGUUUGCCAUUUUAACCUUCGAGUUUCCUCUCAAUUUUCGUCAAAACGAUCUCAAAUCUUCAUCCUGUGUCACUGGAUCUUCUCUACAAAUUUCCUCCCUUCUCUUUACUUACUGUUUACAGACACGGAAGCUGCUGUGUACAAUGACCAUUUUUCAAGUUUUCUUCUAUUACUGAAUGAUUUUAUGGACUCUAUACUCAGGUAUAUUAGAGUUUUCAUUUCCUUAUUGGUUUCCAGUUUAUAAAUCUGAAACAGAUAGACUCCUUAAUGACAAGGAAACCAGGAAGAAAGAAUUCCCUCCGUUCACCCUUUACCCAAGAAGAACGAAUCGAUUUAUUCUUACCUCUCGUCUCGUCUUCCUCGGAACCGUGCAUCCUCAGGAUCCCGUGGAUAUCUAUCAUCUGAAGGUCUCCGUCCUUCCCAAGCACCAGGAGGGCCACGAUUUGAACCCCCGCCUUCAAAUUCCCUGUGAUCGGGAGGAAAGGGAGGCCCAGGUCCACCUCGUCUCCAUUUCUCAUCUUGCAAUGGUGGGCCUCCUCUCCCCUCAAAUUCCCGCAAUCGAUGGCCAAAUCUCUUAUCUGGAUGGAAGUCGUCCCGGAAGUCAUCUGGUCGAUCAAAGUCAUCAUGGAAAUCUGGGUGAGGUCCUCGUCUAUCUGGCAUGCCCCUGCUGUCUCUACCAUCACCCCACUCCUGGCCACCUCGAAACAACCCUCUCUCAGGCCCAUGAUCAGGGCCACCACUGUUCUGGUCGUGCCUUCUAUCUGAGAGAGGGCCCAUGUGGUGGUUUGGUGGACCACGGGAGUCACCUUGAGGGAAAAAACCAUAGCAGAUUUCUGUAAUUUUUCCUAAAAAAUGCUCUAGGACGUUUUAGUUUCUACAGUUCUACAAAGCAUACACCAUACAUUUCACAUUAAGGAAUUCUGGGGGGAAAAGCUUUUCUUCUGUAUUCCAGCCCAAGUCUACUGUAGCUUCCCUCUCAAUCCGGACCCUUCGUUGUGCUGUAGCCUUUUCUAUCUAGAGGGUCUGCACUGGAACAGCAUCUUUUUGGAGAACUACUCACAGAAGAACGGACAGUGCAUUUAAUUACCUUUAUUAAGGCCAGGUCCUUGGUUGUGGGGGCCGAGACGACCUUGUCCUCCCUGCUGCCCCAGUCCUGGUAUCAGUGGUGGAGGACCUGGGUUCUGUCCGUCCUGUUAGUGUACAGUAAGAAAAGCCAUGUGAAUUAGCAUGCGUGAGUAUUCUUGCUUCUGAGCCUUUUGUAAGGCAGCAAACCAAAUUCCUUUAUUGGGACAGUGCAUCUUCACAGCCCUUAUGACAGCAGCAGCUGAUUUUCGAUUAGUUUCAGCCUGAUUUUUUUCACAUUCACAUCAGUGACGCUUUUGUUUCCUGAGGAUCAUACACAAUUAUCUAGAAAACUUAUGACUAAUCUUUUAUCCGUAACGACCAAAAGAUAAUAAAGCUCCUGUUUUCUAUGCCUGUUAGAGAAGGCGAGAGAACUGCAUGCAUUUGUUGAGAAAGCACCAGGUGCUGAUGUGUAUGCUGCAGAUACAGACCCAGGAAGGAUCGCAGCAGGUACCAGGUUACCCCAUGCCUCCUCUGACCACGUGGGUUUUUUUCAUACUCUGUAUCUACUUUCUGUGAAAGACCAUCUUUUAUUAUUAAUUAUUUUAGAGAGAGGGUUGAGGAGCAACACUGAGAGUUCAUUUGAGCAGUUUUUCCUGUUGCAUCUCGAAAUACUGGUUUUAAAUUAUACUUUUGUAUUGAACUGCAACGGAGGUAAUAAUCACAAAAAAACACAUAAACAGGUACUACAAACAGCACCUUUGCACUGAAUGUUUUUGUAAAAUUUUUGGGAAAAUAAAAGCAGAAUAGAAGGCCUGGUUCCAGUGCUUGUUACAAGAGAAAAAAGCACACGAACCUCUUUGAGUGGUUGAAUGGUGAGCUGAGUCAGAAGAAUAGCUGUCCAGGAAGGACAAAGCUGUCACCAUCCCUGAACAAAGCCUUGCUGGAGCUCCACCACUUCUCAUGUAUUUAAUGCAAGAUUACUUACAAUAAACUGUUGAACUUCUUAAGUUUAUGUCACUGCUGUUCAACCAGAGCAGCAGCUUUUAGUGCCCACCUCAUGAGGUCAAUCACUGUUUGCCAAAGCCCUCUAUUUCCAAACAAAUACUCCGACAAGUUAGGAAGACAGAGCCGUCAUAGUGCAUUUUUAUAUGCCUUUCAUUUCAAAAUACACCAUGGGCCCAAAUGGGCUCCUAGCAGACAGAGUGAACUGCAGAGCACA